CAAGGUUUCCGUAGGUGAACCUGCGGAAGGAUCAUUACGUAUCCAACGUUAAACAACCCUGUGAACCUUGAACGUGCUCCUGCAGCCCCAUGAAAUCAGCAAUCCUGGUAAAUCAUUGACCAGCUUUUGAGUCAGGGACGGCUGUUCAGUACCGAGCGCGGUGUAAGCGACCUGGCAUCCCCAAGCGAGCGAUCAGUGUCUGAAAGUGUCAUUGAUUGUGUAAGGAUGGCGCAGUAAACGAUUGCUAGAGGCCCACACGGCCGGCAAUCGGGUCCCAGGGCUCACGUUCCGACUGUACGGACGCCGUAAAAAACUGAACAACUGUUAACAAUGGUUCUC
rnacentral:misc_RNA from 1 species